rnacentral:rRNA from 1 species
CCCUUAGAUGUUCUGGGCCGCACGCGCGCUACACUGAUGCAUUCAACGAGUUUCUUCCUGGUCCGAGAGGAAUGGGUAACCUUUUGAAAGUGCAUCGUGAUAGGGAUAGACUAUUGCAAUUAUUGGUCUUCAACGAGGAAUUCCUAGUAAACGCGAGUCAUCAGCUCGCAUUGAUUACGUCCCUGCCCUUUGUACACACCGCCCGUCGCACCUACCGAUUGAAUGUUUCGGUGAAGAUUCCGGAUAGGACUUUUUUGAUUUAUUUCAAUUUUGUCUUAAAAGCUAUCUAAACCUCAACAUUUAGAGGAAGGUGAAGUCGUAACA